GAUGAACGCUAGCGGCAGGCCUAACACAUGCAAGUCGAGGGAGGAGCCCUUUCGGGGGCAGAAACCGGCGCACGGGUGCGUAACGCGUAUGCAACCUACCUUUCACAGGGGGAUAGCCCGAAGAAAUUUGGAUUAAUACCCCAUAAUAUUAUUGGAUGGCAUCAUUUGAUAAUUAAAACUGCGGUGGUGAAAGAUGGGCAUGCGUCCUAUUAGCUAGUUGGAGUGGUAACGGCACCCCAAGGCUACGAUAGGUAGGGGUCCUGAGAGGGAGAUCCCCCACACUGGUACUGAGACAGGGACCAGACUCCUACGGGAGGCAGCAGUGAGGAAUAUUGGUCAAUGGUCGGAAGACUGAACCAGCCAUGCCGCGUGCAGGAAGAAUGCCUUAUGGGUUGUAAACUGCUUUUAUAUGGGAAGAAUAAGGCGUACGUGUACGUUGAUGACGGUACCAUAUGAAUAAGCAUCGGCUAACUCCGUGCCAGCAGCCGCGGUAAUACGGAGGAUGCGAGCGUUAUUCGGAAUCAUUGGGUUUAAAGGGUCUGUAGGCGGGCUAUUAAGUCAGGGGUGAAAGGUUUCAGCUUAACUGAGAAAUUGCCUUUGAUACUGGUAGUCUUGAAUAUCUGUGAAGUUCUUGGAAUGUGUAGUGUAGCGGUGAAAUGCUUAGAUAUUACACAGAACACCGAUUGCGAAGGCAGGGGACUAACAGACAAUUGACGCUGAGAGACGAAAGCGUGGGGAGCGAACAGG
rnacentral:rRNA from 1 species